GGCAAGGUGGCCGAGCGGUCCAAGGCGCCAGGUUCAGGUCCACCUGAAUUCGUUAAAUCCACGAGAUUUCCUGGUCUCAGAAAUGGGGCGUGAGUUCGAAUCUCACCCUUGUCA